rnacentral:rRNA from 1 species
GAUGAACGCUGGCGGCGUGCCUAAUACAUGCAAGUCGAGCGAACAGACGAGGAGCUUGCUCCUCUGACGUUAGCGGCGGACGGGUGAGUAACACGUGGAUAACCUACCUAUAAGACUGGGAUAACUUCGGGAAACCGGAGCUAAUACCGGAUAAUAUAUUGAACCGCAUGGUUCAAUAGUGAAAGACGGUUUUGCUGUCACUAAUAGAUGGAUCCGCGCCGCAUUAGCUAGUUGGUAAGGUAACGGCUUACCAAGGCAACGAUGCGUAGCCGACCUGAGAGGGUGAUCGGCCACACUGGAACUGAGACACGGUCCAGACUCCUACGGGAGGCAGCAGUAGGGAAUCUUCCGCAAUGGGCGAAAGCUUGACGGAGCAACGCCGCGUGAGUGAUGAAGGUCUUCGGAUCGUAAAACUCUGUUAUUAGGGAAGAACAAAUGUGUAAGUAACUAUGCACGUCUUGACGGUACCUAAUCAGAAAGCCACGGCUAACUACGUG